AGUAAGGUGAAUGCUGAGAAGGCAGAUGUAAUUGUUAAAGAGAUGAAUGCCAUGAAAGAGAAAUCUGGUACCUUCCCUUGGAACAGCAGCCACAUGGUCUAAGAGUAAGGCCUCACCUAGCAGACCAGCCUUUUCUUUUAUUUCUUUUUUUAAGCUAGUGUCUUGUUUUGCUGAAACAAAAAUAAACUGUCUUGCUUUCAUUGUGUGUAGUUUGUU
rnacentral:lncRNA from 1 species